rnacentral:rRNA from 1 species
CAUUCAAAGAGUGCGUAAUAGCUCACUGGUCGAGUGAUCCUGCGCCGAAGAUUUCCGGGGCUAAAACUUACUACCGAAGCUACGGCAUCAGUAAUGAUGGGGAGGGGAGCUUCCCAUACGGGUUGAAGCAUGACCGUAAGGACAUGUGGACAGUAUGGGAGGGAGAAUGUUGGCAUGAGUAGCGAGAUGUGGGUGAGAAUCCCACAGGCCGUAAACCCAAGGUUUCCAGGGGAAGGUUCGUCCGCCCUGGGUUAGUCGGGACC